rnacentral:lncRNA from 1 species
ACUGACACCAAUGCCACACUGAGCAAUUUCAUGCAAACCACGGGUCAACUCAUAAACACUAACUCCCAAGCCAUUGCCCAUUUGGAAAUGCAAGUAGGUCAGCUAGCUUCUGCUAUGAGCGAGUGAGAACGAGGUAAGCUACCAAGCUAACCUGAACCUAACCCGAGAAACCAAAAUGGUCCACGACCCCAACAAGGGAACCA